rnacentral:lncRNA from 1 species
GAAACUUAGGCUUUCUACAAAUGUCAUGUCAUUUAUUCUUUUGUAAUACUUGUUCAAAAUUGAAUCACUUUAGAUCAUAGCCAAAUAUGAUGAGCUUUUCCAUUGUUCAGUAUAUGCACAGGAUACCAACAAUUCUUGUUUUAACUCAUUUGAAUCAUGUUUAAUCUUGCAUUUGUGUUUACUUGUAUGAAAGCACUAAAAUGAUCAAGGCAUUUUGUUUGGUUUUGAGCACACCACCUGGCCCAAAAGUAGCCUACCUUGUGAGUGAGUGAGAAUUUGCUUACCCCUUUGAGCCAUGUGUCAAGAUCCAUUUUGAUGUUAACCUGUGAAACUUGUACAUAACUAAUUAGUUCAUUAUUGAUUUUAGAUUGGAUUUUGAACUUUUUUCUUGAACCCUCAAUCAUAAAUUGUGAUUUGAAUUUUUACCCUUGCCUUAAAAAGUUUGGGAGCAUUAAUAUUACAAUGAUUGGUUGCGUUCAAGUUUGGGAGAAACGGUUGGUACUAAGAGGUCG